rnacentral:rRNA from 1 species
UUGGAGGGCAAGUCUGGUGCCAGCAGCCGCGGUAAUUCCAGCUCCAAUAGCGUAUAUUAAAGUUGUUGCAGUUAAAAAGCUCGUAGUUGAAUUUCGGAGUUUGUCGGUUGGUCGGGCUUCACUGUUCGCACUGGCCUGAUGGAUUCCUACCUUCUGAAUAACCAGCAUGCUAUUAAUUUAGUGCGUUGGGGAAGCAGAGCUAUUACCUUGAAAAAAUUAGAGUGCUUAAAGCAGGCUUACGCUUGAAUAGAUUAGCAUGGAAUAAUAAAAUAGGACGGCAUGGUUCUAUUUUGUUGGUUUCUAGGAUCACCGUAAUGAUUAAUAGGGAUAGUUGGGGGCAUUAGUAUUCAAUUGUCAGAGGUGAAAUUCUUGGAUUUAUUGAAGACUAACUUCUGCGAAAGCAUUUGCCAAGGAUGUUUUCAUUAAUCAAGAACGAAAGUUAGGGGACCGAAGACGAUCAGAUACCGUCGUAGUCUUAACCAUAAACUAUGCCGACUAGGGAUCGGACGAUGCUAAUUUUUUAAUGACUCGUUCGGCGCCUUACGGGAAAC